ACGGCGAGUGAAGCGGGAACAGCUCAAGGCAGGAAUCCCUCCGGGGAGUUGUGGCCUAUGGAACGUAGUUGCUGUGAGUCGGUUUGCGGAUCAAGUCCCUUGGAAUAGGGCGCCAGAGAGGGUGACAGCCCCGUCCACCGCAGGCUUGAACGGCUCCGUUAUGCACUAUGCUCCGCGAGUCGGGUUGUUUGGGAAUGCAGCCCUAAUCGGGAGGUACGCACCUUCCAAGGCUAAAUAUUCAGGCGAGAGACCGAUAGCGAACAAGUACCGUGAGGGAAAGUUGAAAAGUACUCUGGAGAGAGAGUGAAAAGCGCGUGAAACCAUUAGUAGGGAACCGCUUGCACGGUGCACUGAGUAUUGCUGGCUUCGGCUGGCUUUACCGCUCAACACCAGUUUGGCUUGCUGGAGAAAGGACGUGGCAAGGUAGCAACGCUUCGGGGUUGUGUUAUAGGCCGCGUCCAUAUACAGUGGGCUGGACUGAGGACGGCGACAUCCCUUCGGGGCGCUUGUGGAGGCUGGCCGGGGGGCUGGACUGCGCGGACAGCAUGCUGACCGUGCGGGAUCAUGCAACCCGCCCCCAGUGUUCAUGAAGUGAUAUGUCAAG
rnacentral:rRNA from 1 species